ACAGAGUGAGACUCUGUCUAAAAAUAAAAGUGGCAUCUGAUACAGAGAAGAUUAGCAUGGCCCCUGCUCAAGGAUGACACAUAUUUGUGAAGGGUUCCAUUUAAAA
rfam:Nomascus leucogenys chromosome 1a, whole genome shotgun sequence.